GCUUGUCUCAAAGAUUAAGCCAUGCAUGUCUAAGUACAAGCCUCAGUAAGGUGAAACCGCGAAUGGCUCAUUAAAUCACACCUAAUCUACUGGAAAGUUACUAGUUACUUGGAUAACUGAGGUAAUUCUUGAGCUAAUACAUGCGAAAAAUCUCGACUCACGGAGAGAUGCUUUUAUUAGAUCAAAACCAGCCCGGUUCGCCGGAGUCCCUGGUGAGUCAUAAUAACUGAGCGAAUCGCAUGGCCUUGCGCCGGCGAUGGUUCAUUCAAGUUUCUGCCCUAUCAGCUUUCGAUGGUAGGGUAUUGGCCUACCAUGGCGUUAACGGGUAACGGAGAAUUAGGGUUCGAUUCCGGAGAGGGAGCCUGAGAAACGGCUACCACAUCCAAGGAAGGCAGCAGG
rnacentral:rRNA from 1 species